rnacentral:rRNA from 1 species
CCUACGGGCGGCAGCAGUGGGGAAUAUUGGACAAUGGGCGAAAGCCUGAUCCAGCCAUGCCGCGUGUGUGAAGAAGGCCUUCGGGUUGUAAAGCACUUUCAGUGGGGAAGAAAGCCUUGGGGCUAAUACCCUCGAGGAAGUACAUCACCCACAGAAGAAGCACCGGCUAACUCCGGGCCAGCAGCCGCGGUAAUACGGAGGGUGCGGGCGUUAAUCGGAAUUACUGGGCGUAAAGCGCGCGUAGGCGGUCUGAUAAGCCGGUUGUGAAAGCCCCGGGCUCAACCUGGGAACGGCAUCCGGAACUGUCAGGCUAGAGUGCAGGAGAGGAAGGUAGAAUUCCCGGUGUAGCGGUGAAAUGCGUAGAGAUCGGGAGGAAUACCAGUGGCGAAGGCGGCCUUCUGGACUGACACUGACGCUGAGGUGCGAAAGCGUGGGUAGCAAACAGGAUUAGAUACCCCGGUAGUC